GGCUGUUUCCUCAGCGCAUUACAAAGGCGGCGCAUUGAGGGAGAGGAGGGGUCGCCAGCGGUUUCGAGAGACACUGCAUACUCUCCUCUAACAAACAGCCAAGUAUCUGGAAAAUAAAAGGAUGACCAAUGGUGAAAGAGACAGGAGACACACUGUGUGGAAAGGGCACCAAUUUGGAGUCAAGAAGUCCUAGAGCAACCUUUAUUUCUGCCACUUACUUGUCCCCAGGCUGCUCCUGAACCUCAGGCAAAGGUCUGGAACUCUCAAUCUCCAACAGCUUCUGGAUUCUUCCUUUGGCAUCAAGCCCCAAGCUGGCAGCCUUCUGGCUAGACAACAACCAGGUCAGAUGCAGACUUCCUUUGCUCUUGGACUGGACUCACUUCCAGCGCCUGCAGCUGGGCCUGUGCCCCCACUGCCUGCCUCACCCUUGUAGGAGAGCAUUUUUCUUGCCAGUGUGUAAAUGGGACUCCAGUCUCUCAG